CCCCGACCGUGUUCAGAUACGCAGACAGCGGGACACUGGGCGAGCAGAACGCAGCGCAGUAAUCUGCAAUACAGCACAGUUUUACAGGUUUUGCUGGUUCUUAAUGAAGCUCUCCAGCACCUGACAUCCAUUUAGCGGGAAAACAGGACAAACCGUCAAUCCUCCUGAAUAUUACACACUGCACCUUAGAAACGUGAUAGUUGGGUGAAUCCAGCCCUAGAUUUCCCACUGUUCCCACUGACCUCUUCCAUGUGCAGCGA